CGUUCGGAUCAGGUCGCGGGGAAUCGGCUGUGCCUUCCGCGCGCAGGUGCGCGUGCCAGGCCCCGCGUCCGCGGCGUGAUCCGAACGGC
rnacentral:tRNA from 1 species